rnacentral:rRNA from 1 species
UACGUAGGCAGCAGCGUUGUUCGGAGUUACUGGGCGUAAAGGGUGCGUAGGCGGCUUUUUAAGUUUUGGUGUGAAAUCUCCCGGCUCAACUGGGAGGGUGCGCCGAAUACUGAGAGGCUAGAGUGUGGGAGAGGAAAGUGGAAUUCCUGGUGUAGCGGUGAAAUGCGUAGAUAUCAGGAGGAACACCGGUGGUGUAAACGGCUUUCUGGACCAUAACUGACGCUGAUGCACGAAAGCGUGGGUAGCAAACAGG